UGAGCAAUCUGCCCUUCUCAUCGGAAUAAGCGUUGGAAACGACGUCUAAUGCCGAAUACGACCUCUUUUCGCAUGAUCGGAGGUGGAAAGCUCCGGCGGAGAAGGAUGAGCUCGCGGCCUAUCAGCUAGUUGGUGUGGGUAAUGGCCCACCAAGGCGACGACGGGUAGCCGGCCUGAGAGGGUGACCCGGCCACACGUGGGACUGAGACACGGCCCAGACCUCCGUACGGGAGCAG
rnacentral:rRNA from 1 species